UAUCUCUGUAGAGUCUGCAUAUCAAUAAGCGGAGGAAAAGAAACUAACAAGGAUUCCCUUAGUAACGGCGAGUGAAGCGGGAAGAGCUCAAAUUUGAAAUCUUCAAGGUUCUACCUUGACGAAUUGUAGUUUAAAGAAGUGUUUUCUGUUAGAUGAGUAGCAAAAGUUCCUUGGAAUGGGACAUCAUAGAGGGUGAGAAUCCCGUAUUUGGUUAUUCAUUCUAGCUUUGUGAUACACUUUCAAAGAGUCGGAUUGUUUGGGAAUGCAGUCCAAAAUGGGUGGUAAAUUUCAUCUAAAGCUAAAUAUUGGCGAGAGACCGAUAGCGAACAAGUACCGUGAGGGAAAGAUGAAAAGAACUUUGAAAAGAGAGUUAAACAGUACGUGAAAUUGUCAAAAGGGAAGCGUUUGACACCAGUGUUGUUUUUCCGAAAAUCAAUUACGAAUGGCUUGAUUUCGUGUUGUAUUGACCUUAUCAGCUUUCUUCACUUUUUUCGAGUCUUUCUUAAUGCACUUUUCGGUUAACAAGUCAACAUCAAUUUCUUUUGUUGUAAAAGAGUAUUCGGAAGGUGGCUUUCUUUUCGGAGAAAGUGUUUAUAGCCCUAUACUUCUACAAUCGGAGAGAUUGAGGUCUGCAGCGUAGAUCCUUCGGGGUUAGAUACACUUGUGCUAAGUUGUAGCUUUUCAUAGACAACUUGUUGACUAUGUUUAGUCAUGCGGCUUACUCGCUUGUGCUAUUUUACCUACGCUUAGGAUGUUGACUGAUAUGUAGUCGUA
rnacentral:rRNA from 1 species